UCCGCUAACCCUAACGACGCGAGCAGCUGGCGCAGAACCACCGUGAGCCGCCGCCCCAACUCCAAGGCUCCAACCAUGGCGGCUCCUCUCUCUUCCUCCCUAGCUUUUGGAGACAGCAGAUCAAACGGCAGCUUGGAUGACAGAUUGGAAUGUGUAAUGCGAGUAAACUGAGCCAUCAGCCAAAAAAGCAUCGGGCUAUUCAGUUUCUGGCCAUAAUCCUAUGACUUGGGAGAAAAUCACAAACUUGCUGGAAAUCUUGAUACCACAGUUAACAUUCCUUUACUGUAACAUGAUCGGCCAUCCAAUUCAUGGUCCAUGAAUUCUGAAAUUUUGCUUUACCAACUGAAGCCUUCCUGGCUUCCUGGCUGAGGUCCUGGAAUAUGUAUCAUGUUAACUGAAAUGGUCUUUGCACUUUGCAGUGCGUACAACCGAGUGAA